GUGCAUGUUAAUGAGGAAUACAUCAUCAUGGGCUAUGAAGAUGAGGAGCGCUCCAGAUUACUGUUGGUGGAGGGUUCUAUUGCUGAAAAAUGGAAGGAUCGACUGGGUAAAAAAGUUAAGCGCUGGGAUAUGAAGCUCCGUCACCUUGGACUGAAUAAAAGUGAUUCUAGCCAUAGUGAUUCCACGCAGAGUCAGAAGUCUGGCAGGAGCUCCAACCCCCGGCAAGCGCGCAACUAAACCCUGAAACGCGGAAAGAACGCUGGUGGACUUCCUAUUAAGACUUGCAUUGCUGGACUAGCAAAGGAAAAUUGCACUAUUGCACGUCAUAUUCUAUUUUUUACCACAAAAACUCAUGUGGUAACUGAUAUUACUUCUAUUUUCUCUUUUGUUUUCUGCUUUUCUCUUUCCUCCUCCCCGCCCCCGUUUUUUGUGGUCUGGGUGCAGAUCCUUAAAUAUAUGAUAUGUAUUCUAUUUCACUAGUCAUGGGAAAACUGUUCUUUGCAAUAAUAAUAAAUUAAACAUGUGGAUACCAGG